rnacentral:tRNA from 1 species
GGGCCCGUGGUAUAGUGGCAACACGCGACUAUGGCAUAGUUGAGUCCGGGGUUCGAGUCCCCGCGGGUCCACCA